AGAGUUUGAUCAUGGCUCAGGACGAACGCUGGCGGCGUGCUUAACACAUGCAAGUCGAACGAUGAAGCCCAGCUUGCUGGGUGGAUUAGUGGCGAACGGGUGAGUAACACGUGAGUAACCUGCCCUUGACUUCGGGAUAACUCCGGGAAACCGGGGCUAAUACCGGAUAUGAGCUACCUUCGCAUGGGGGUGGUUGGAAAGUUUUUCGGUCAGGGAUGGGCUCGCGGCCUAUCAGCUUGUUGGUGGGGUGAUGGCCUACCAAGGCGACGACGGGUAGCCGGCCUGAGAGGGCGACCGGCCACACUGGGACUGAGACACGGCCCAGACUCCUACGGGAGGCAGCAGUGGGGAAUAUUGCACAAUGGGCGCUAGCCUGAUGCAGCGACGCCGCGUGAGGGAUGCAAGGCCUUCGGGUUGUAAACCUCUUUCAGCAGGGAAGAA
rnacentral:rRNA from 1 species